rnacentral:lncRNA from 1 species
AACAUUGUCCCUUGGUGCUGUUCACGCAGACCAUAGUCACUGGGCGUGUUGCGAUGUGGUAAAGUGUGCGUGUGUGUGUGCUGUGAUGUGCGUGCAACGCUCGUAAGCCUGCUGUCACCUAAUGAGCGUGGGGAGCAGAGCAGGGCAAUGUGCUGUCACGGGCUCUGAGACCACACGGAGUCACGCAGCAACGACCGUGCUGGAGGAUGAGUGGGAAUGGCCACAAUGCGUUGUGAGCUGGAAUGUGACCGCAGGGAACCAUUUGUUUCGUCACCUGGUUCUAAUGCUGCCAAAGCUUUUUGCACAGUACCAGCUCAGGCUGCAUCAGCCAUCACUGCACCUGUGGAUGCGGCGCAGGCACAGCCCUGUGACACAGUCAGAAGCAAACAGGUCGGGCCCUGCAGUCCUCAGCAUCCGCUGGGUUCACACAUCCUGGCUCCGUGAUCUACAACCUGUCCGAACAACUCCUGCAUGUUUAGCUGCACUCCUCCAAUGAACUCAGCGUGAGAAGGAAGAAAUUACAUUUUCUCCUUGGUCGCUCAGCAUUGGUUUAUCUGCCAGCAUAA